CCUACGGGUGGCAGCAGUGAGGAAUAUUGGUCAAUGGACGAGAGUCUGAACCAGCCAAGUAGCGUGAAGGAUGACUGCCCUAUGGGUUGUAAACUUCUUUUAUAUGGGAAUAAAAUGUUCCACGUGUGGGAUUUUGUAUGUACCAUAUGAAUAAGGAUCGGCUAACUCCGUGCCAGCAGCCGCGGUAAUACGGAGGAUCCGAGCGUUAUCCGGAUUUAUUGGGUUUAAAGGGAGCGUAGGUGGAUUGUUAAGUCAGUUGUGAAAGUUUGCGGCUCAACCGUAAAAUUGCAGUUGAAACUGGCAGUCUUGAGUACAGUAGAGGUGGGCGGAAGUCGUGGUGGAGCGGUGAAAUGCUUAGAUAUCACGAAGAACUCCGAUUGCGAAGGCAGUUCACUGGACUGCAACUGACACUGAGGCUCGAAAGUGUGGGUAUCAAACAGGAUUAGAUACCCCAGUAGUC
rnacentral:rRNA from 1 species